rnacentral:lncRNA from 1 species
CAGCCCUCGAGUCCUGUGGUGUUGCUAGUUAUUUUAAUUGAGUGACACACAAGGUGGGUAUGAAUGAAUUUUACAGCCAAUUAGGGCUAAGCAUGGAUUGUACAGGAAAGAGAGUCUUUUUAGUGCAAAUUUAUGGUCCACUCAAGACACAUAACUUAUGACAGGACUAGUAACCGCAGCUGAGCAGGCUUCUUUCCGGAGCCUCUUGUCCUCUAAACGGGUUUUUCUGGACACUUGCAGUAGGUAAGGAGGCUGUCGACUAUGGAACUGAGCGAAGACAGGUUCGGGGCUCACCCUUACCGAUCCGCUCCGCAAACCUCGGGAAUCCCUCUGCCUCUCUGUUCUGUUGUUCUUACCUAAACAAUAAGCUAUCGGCCUCAGCUGUCUCCGGGAAACUUUGAACUCUAAGAGGGCAGGUUUUACUUGUUCUCCUCGAAAUGCAUUUCAGACUGGGAGUGGAGUGUGGGAGCGGGAACAUUAAGUUAGAGCAGGCUGCAAACCCUCCACCUGGAAAUGUGUCUGCACUGCUGUCACCAGCCUGUCUGGGUCUCGGCUCUGUCCUUCCCUUGGUGUGUCCUGGGGUAGGCGUUGAAUGAGAAAACCAUGGUUGCAGAGGCAACACAUCCUUUCCUUGAACAGUGUGCACUUGAGGAACGAAUUAAGACCCGUAAACAAGGAUGAAAGCCCCCGCCCCGCAGACUUCAGCUCCUCCUCCAUGAAGGACGCCGCCUGGGAGGUGAGUCCAGGCCGGGCCAGGGAGGGCCUCCUGUGGGAAGGUGCAUUUUCACCUUACAGCCGGGAAGUAGACAGCUGCGUCACAGUUUCACUCAUGCCGGUCUCUUCCUGUGCACAUUCAAUGUUAACAUUAUUCUGGCAAAAGCCUUGCUGCAGAUAGUCUCUCCGGUCCCUCCUACAUCUCUUUCCAGAAGACAGUUUAAAAGGACACAUUUCAUCACCUCUCAGAAGGGGUUAACAUCACAGAAUUCCAAGUCUGAGGGUGGAGCCCUGAUCCUGAGAAGGUUUUGUUGAGUUCGGGACAGUAUUUCUUUACCCAUCCUUCAUGAAGAUAAAAAAUGAGGCAAAAUAGACACUAAAAUGGUCUCUGACAUCUCCUCAUGCCACCAGACAAGGAGUAACCAUGGUAACAAGAAGCCUAGAAAAAUUGGGGAAUGAGGAAGACCAGGAAUGAGAGCUCCCCUCAGCCCUGGGGGGACCUGAGUGUCCACAGCUGAGCCUUCUCUGCUUCCCUUUUCUCUUCUGGAUUCUGAUGGAGGAUAUUUUCAUCUUCCUCCCAAAAUCAUCAGAAAGCAUAAGGACAUAUAUAAACCGCUUUGCAAAAAGAGAGUGUAUGGAAUAAAAGAGAAAAUGAAGAAGAGGAGAAAGGCUGGAGUGCAAUGGUGUGAUCUCAGCUCACUGCAGCCUCAACCUCCCUGGCUCAGGUGAUUCUCCCACCUCAGCUUCCUGAUUAACUGGGAUUACAGUAAUGGUGAAAUUGCCGGUAAUCGCUAAGUAAAAACCACUGAAGAACAGGACAGAAGCCAAUGACCACCUCACCUCCACCGAGUGCCCUGCAGAAAAAGGAAAUGGAAAUCCUUCCUGUUAUUCUCCGCGUCCCUUCGUAGAAGGCUGCCUGAGAGGUCAGCACAGGAGUCCUCUAAGUGCCCUGCAGAGAACACGGGUCUCGGAGCCGGACAAACCUAAAUUUUGAAACCCACUUUGAGUUUGAACUUGGCUGUGGGAAAGUUACACAAUCGCUCUAAGCCUCUGUUUUCUCAUCAGUAAAACAGAGAGGGGUUGCUUGUGUGAGAAGUGGCCGCUGCCAAUCAUCUGCGUGUCCUUCACUCUCCCAGGGGCCAUGGGUCUGUAUUCUACACAUGUGGGAUCUUCCUCUGGACCCUUCGGACAUGGUCCACACGCUGCCCUCAGGAUCUGCUGGGGUCUGCAUGGGGGGUGAGACGUGAACCCCAACCACGUUCACCACAGAGAGGAAACUGGGGGGAUGGAGGGGGGGACAAGGCCAGGUCACCUUCAGGUGCCGCCCGCCAGCAAGGCGGUUUGCACCCGGCUGAAUGAGCUUUAAAAAAGACAGUUUUUUCUGUAGUUUAGAAUCAUGGUUUCACUAAAUGGUGAAAUAAUUUUAUGCCACUUCCCCUACUAAUUACCAUCUCAUUGUUAUUAGAAAGGAUGGUUUCCUUGAAGUCUAGAAAAUUUUGUUCCAGUCCAUUUCAACGGUGCAGGAGAAACGUGGCUUCCAUUCCGAGGAAGACGGCGACACCUAGUGACCGUUCCCUCGCGGUGCGAUGGCCUCACACCUGUGCGGCGGGUCGUCCGGGGCGUAGGGUGCUGCGGCCUUGCGGUCUUCCCUGCGCUGCAAGGCAGGGCAUGGUGGCAGAUUAACACCUGGAUGAACACGGGCAGGUCAGGAGACAAAUAAAACCCAGAGGUCUUUGAAACUUCAAAAUCCCGUAGGGUGUGUGACCCCAGUGAGCCCCACGCUACAUCCAGCGAGAACCGAGAAGUGAUGGUGCAGACAUUCUUGGGUCCCCCAGACAGAACACACCGGGAGUUACUGCCUCUUUCUCAUCCCGAGUCCUCCUGACUUUCCCCAGCACCCAUCGUGGCUGCAGCCAGGACACAGGUAAAUGUAAUUUCCCUCCCCUUCCAUCCUCGCUUUCACAUCGGUGUGAUUGACUGAGGGCCUGCAGACUCUCUCCACGUGCGGGUGCCCUGCAGCCUGACACACAAAUGCGUUCAUCCUUCCCCUUUAUCCUGACCCCGAACUAAUGACGCAGCUUCCUGAGACACAGAGGAUGCUUCUCCUCGUCCCCCCUCGCGCUCUGAAGUGGGAAAAGAUGUGUUCCAUCUGUUCUGGAAUUUUCACUGUAAAGAAGAGAAUGAAUUUUAACUGUGUUUUUGACAUAUCCCUAAACAAGAAGUGGUUUAUAGAGUGAAACCAUUUUCCCUUCAUCUAAAAUUUAAAAAAAAAAAAAAAGAGAGAGAAAAGUGCAAGACUGAAGAUGUGUGUUGAGCGGGGUGAGGAAGCGUGGGGGACUCGGCGCUGGAGGAGCCCCGGGUGUGUUUAGGGUUUGUGGUCAGGGGCCCUGGGCACCAGGUCCAGUCUGAAGCACCCGGGGGGAUGGACGAUGUUUGUGUAAGAGAGGGACAAAGGGAUGGCAGGGUGGCCAAGCAGAGACGCGAUUCCCUCUGUGCCCUUCCUGGACCAGCUUUGUAUUCUAACAGCAACGUCUCUGUUCUUGGGAAGAGCUCCUCGGUGAUUACCUGCCCGCCCCUUGUCUCCUCUUAUUCCCGCUGCCACAGGGCAGGGCCGCCCAGCUCCAGCUCAGACACACACCUGCUCCAACUGCUGUGCUGGUCACAGGCCCAGAGCACCACGUGUCCUCUGGGGUCUGUGUGGUCGGCGCCGUGCGUGGGACCACUGUGAGUGACCCUCCUCUUGUGUCACAGAGCCACUGUACCCGUGUGCACCUGUGCUCUGAGACCUGGAUACCCCUGGAAGGACAGACACCGAGGACCCGAGUGCACUGGAGUCCCGCUCCCACAGAUCCUGCUGCUGGGAGAACUGUCAGCCAGGAACGGGACUGCGGUGGGGAAUUCCUUCUGUCAACACACUUUCUAAUCUAAGCUCCAGACUCCACUUCCAGACUAGCACAGGCUUUUUCCCCCACAUCUCCUUCUCUGCAGCCGGGGCUCCUGCCGGGUCUGCGGAGCCCAGAGCCAUGCUCUCUGCCGACUCCAUCUCCAGAUGCCUGCCCCGGCACCCACGCUGUUGCCAGGACACCAGUGAACCCAGACAGGGAGCUGGGAGAUGGGAACAUCACUAGACCACGAGCCGGAAUUGCUGCAGGAGGAUUCCCACACUCUGGGCCUCCGUGGGCACCACGAGGACUGGACGUGCGACCCCAGCUCUCUGGGUCUCAGUUUCGUCUCCUGCAGAGCAUCUGAGCUAGACCGUCUCUAAAAUUUCAUCAAGCUCCUGUAUUCCAUUCUAUUCUGAGAUGCCCAAUUCUUAUGCCUGCUAAAAACCACAGUGAGAAAUAAUAACCUAUGUCCACAUUUUUGUUUCCUAGGAGAAAUAUCAACAUGCGUCUGCCAAAUAAAAUAUUGUAUUAAAUGAGUUAUUUCAAAAAGUAUUCUUUGACCACCUCAACAUGUGUUAAAAGGAAUGCCACAUGUUAAAAGGAAUGCCUCAUGUUACACGGAGUCCUUCUAGGGU